rnacentral:rRNA from 1 species
AACGAACGCUGGCGGCAUGCCUAACACAUGCAAGUCGAACGAGACCUUCGGGUCUAGUGGCGCACGGGUGCGUAACGCGUGGGAACCUGCCCUUAGGUUCGGAAUAACUCCCCGAAAGGGGUGCUAAUACCGGAUAAUGUCUUCGGACCAAAGAUUUAUCGCCUUUGGAUGGGCCCGCGUUGGAUUAGCUAGUUGGUAGGGUAAAAGCCUACCAAGGCGACGAUCCAUAGCUGGUCUGAGAGGAGGAUCAGCCACACUGGGACUGAGACACGGCCCAGACUCCUACGGGAGGCAGCAGUGGGGAAUAUUGGACGAUGGGCGAAAGCCUGAUCCAGCAAUGCCGCGUGAGUGAUGAAGGCCUUAGGGUUGUAAAGCUCUUUUACCCGGGAUGAUAAUGACAGUACCGGGAGAAUAAGCUCCGGCUAACUCCGUG